rnacentral:rRNA from 1 species
GACGAACGCUGGCGGCGUGCCUAAUACAUGCAAGUUGAGCGCUGAAGGUUGGUACUUGUACCAACUGGAUGAGCAGCGAACGGGUGAGUAACGCGUGGGGAAUCUGCCUUUGAGCGGGGGACAACAUUUGGAAACGAAUGCUAAUACCGCAUAAAAACUUUAAACACAAGUUUUAAGUUUGAAAGAUGCAAUUGCAUCACUCAAAGAUGAUCCCGCGUUGUAUUAGCUAGUUGGUCAGGUAAAGGCUCACCAAGGCGAUGAUACAUAGCCGACCUGAGAGGGUGAUCGGCCACAUUGGGACUGAGACACGGCCCAAACUCCUACGGGAGGCAGCAGUAGGGAAUCUUCGGCAAUGGACGAAAGUCUGACCGAGCAACGCCGCGUGAGUGAAGAAGGUUUUCGGAUCGUAAAACUCUGUUGGUAGAGAAGAACGUUGGUGAGAGUGGAAAGCUCAUCAAGUGACGGUAACUACCCAGAAAGGGACGGCUAACUACGUG